rnacentral:tRNA from 2 species
GGCAACGUGGCGGAGUGGUUAUCGCGCUAGCCUAGAACUGAUGAUUGUAUCUAGCUAGUUCCUUCGGGAGCGUCAGUUCGAGUCUGGCCGUUGUCG